rnacentral:rRNA from 1 species
CCCUUAGAUGUUCUGGGCGGCCCGCGCACUACAAUGGCGUGUGCAGCGAGUGCCGAAGUAGAGUUUUCCGAGGUAUUCUUGCAAUGCUCGUUUUGAUGGGGAUAGACCCUUGCAACUGUUGGUUUUGAACGAGGAAUUCCUUGUAAGCAUGGUUUAUCAUCCGACGCUGAAUGCGUCCCUGCCCUUUGUACACACCGCCCGUCGCUCCUACCGAUGAGUCGUCCGGUGAAGUUCGUAGACCUCGUGAUCGCGGAUCACUGGGGGAAGCAAAAUGAACCUAGCGGUUUAGAGGAAGGAGAAGUCGUAACA